GGGGCUGACUUGGAUUUCGACAGAUUUCUUGUCGCACAGACAGCAUGCCAAGUGCUACUUGUAAAACAGCAACAAAAAUAACUGUAAACAACACAGAUUACGCUCCAGCUUACGCUAAAGCUGCGUGAGUUAAUCUCCUUUUGGAGCUGGACUGAUUAGAAUUUCUAGCGUUUAAUCACUCCAUAACCUUAAGCUAGACGCUUUUAAAAGGUGGUUCGCCUUUUAAACUAAGAAACAAGAACUCUUGAAACUACCUCAAGGUUUUAGAAAGUUGGACCAGAGCUAGUUUUAAGGCUAAAAAACCAACCAAUUUUCUAAGCAUUGUAGAAGUUUGUGUUUAGGGCAAGAUUUUUGGACUGGGGUUCGAUUCCCCACAGCUCCACCA
rnacentral:tmRNA from 1 species